GUAGCUAAAUGCGGAAGAGAUAAGUGCUGAAAGCAUCUAAGCACGAAACUUGCCCCGAGAUGAGUUCUCCCUGAGACCUAGAGUCUCCUGAAGGAACGUUGAAGACGACGACGUUGAUAGGUCGGGUGUGUAAGUGUAGCGAUACAUUGAGCUAACCGAUACUAAUGAACCGUGAGGCUUAACCUUACAACGCCGAAGGUGUUU
rnacentral:rRNA from 1 species